UCGAGAAUCUUCCGCAAUGGACGAAAGUCUGACGGAGCGACGCCGCGUGAUGGAUGAAGUACUUCGGUACGUAAACAUCUUUUAUCAGGGAAGAACUAAAGUGACGGUACCUGAGGAAUAAGGGGCUGCAAAACUCGUGCCAGCAGCAGCGGUAAAACGAGUGCCCCAAGCGUUAUCCGGAAUUACUGGGCAUAAAGGGUGCGUAGGUGGUCUUAUUAGUCGUUUGUUAAAACUCCCGGCCUAACCGGGAAGCAGUGAACGAAACGGUAAGACUAGAGAGAGUGAGAGGUUAGCAGAACUCAUGGUGUAGGGGUGAAAUCCGUUGAUAUCAUGGGGAAUACCAAAGGCGAAGGCAGCUAACUGGCGCUCAUCUGACACUCCAGCACGAAAGCGUGGGUAGCGAAUGGG
rnacentral:rRNA from 1 species